AUUGAACGCUGGCGGCAGGCCUAACACAUGCAAGUCGAGCGGAUGAAGGGAGCUUGCUCCUGGAUUCAGCGGCGGACGGGUGAGUAAUGCCUAGGAAUCUGCCUGGUAGUGGGGGAUAACGUCCGUAAACGGGCGCUACUACCGCAUACGUCCUGAGGGAUAAAGUGGGGGAUCUUCGGACCUCACGCUAUCAGAUGAGCCUAGGUCGGAUUAGCUAGUUGGUGGGGUAAAGGCCUAACAAGGCGACGAUCCGUAACUGGUCUGAGAGGAUGAUCAGUCACAAUGGAAGUGAGACACGGUCCAGACUCCUACGGGAGGCAGCAGUGGGGAAUAUUGGACAAAGGGCGAAAGCCUGAUCAAGCCAUGCCGCGUGUGUGAAGAAGGUCUUCGGAUUGUAAAGCACUUUAAGUUGGGAGGAAGGGCAGUAAGUUAAUACCUUGCUGUUUUGACGGUACCAACAGAAUAAGCACCGGCUAACUUCGUG
rnacentral:rRNA from 1 species